AAUCCAAUUCAAUUAAAUCUGAUACAAUCUCUAUUACUCAAUUAAAUUGAGCUAAUAACAUUCAAAUUAUUAAUUAAUUAUUCUUCUAAUUUAUCAACCAUUAGUAAAUAAUUUAUUACAAUCUUUGCAUAGGAUUAAUCAUCAAUCACAUUGAUAAUUAAAUUCUUCAAUGAUUCAUAAUCGUCGAUCAGUCAUUUGAUCAGAUAGGUACUUCUAUGUGUAUGACCCCAUA
rnacentral:lncRNA from 1 species